rnacentral:rRNA from 1 species
GAUGAACGCUGGCGGCGUGCCUAAUACAUGCAAGUCGAGCGAACAGACGAGGAGCUUGCUCCUCUGACGUUAGCGGCGGACGGGUGAGUAACACGUGGAUAACCUACCUAUAAGACUGGGAUAACUUCGGGAAACCGGAGCUAAUACCGGAUAAUAUAUUGAGCCGCAUGGUUCAAUAGUGAAAGACGGUUUUGCUGUCACUUAUAGAUGGAUCCGCGCCGCAUUAGCUAGUUGGUAAGGUAACGGCUUACCAAGGCAACGAUGCGUAGCCGACCUGAGAGGGUGAUCGGCCACACUGGAACUGAGACACGGUCCAGACUCCUACGGGAGGCAGCAGUAGGGAAUCUUCCGCAAUGGGCGAAAGCCUGACGGAGCAACGCCGCGUGAGCGAUGAAGGUCUUCGGAUCGUAAAACUCUGUUAUUAGGGAAGAACAAAUGUGUAAGUAACUAUGCACGUCUUGACGGUACCUAAUCAGAAAGCCACGGCUAACUACGUG